rnacentral:lncRNA from 1 species
AUAUAUAUAUAUAUAUAUACAUACACAUACAUACAUACCCAUACACACAUACAUACGCACACAUGAAAUGGUUAGAGAGUAUUCUCGUAAGAAAUUACUAAAUACCCCUGAACGUCGUAGACAUCGUUUGUUUUCAUGGUGUAUGCAAAAUCGCAAUAUGGGCAGGGAUCUAUUUGUGACUAUAAAAGUAUACAUACCGUACGGUUGUGCAUAAAAUACUUUAGAUAUAUAUAUAUAUAUAUAAAGUAUUUAGUAAUUUCUUACGAGAAUACUGUCUAACCUUUUCAUGUGUGCGUAUAUAUGUGUGUAGGUGUGUGUUAUUCAUAUAUUCAUAUAUAUAUACAUACAUAAUUACAUACAUACCGCUUACAAUUUUAAAUAUAUGUAUUUAUGUAUAUAUAUAUAUAUAUAUAUAUAUAUAUAUAUAUAUAUAUAUAUAUAUGUGUGUGUGUGUGUUCGUAUGUGUGCAUAUAUGUAUAUAUAUAUAUAUAUAUAUAUAUAUAUACAUGUACACACAUAUAUGUGGAUAUAUAUGUGCAUAUAUAUAUGUAUAUAUAUAUAUAUAUGUGCAUACAUGUAUAUAUAUAUAGUUAUAUAUAUAUAUUUGUGUGUGUGUGUGUGUAUAUGUAUAUAUAUAUAUAUAUAUAUAUAUAUAGAUGGAUAUAUCUAUAUAUAUGUGUGUCUAUAUAUAGAUAGAUAGAUAGAUAGAUAGAUAGAUAGAUAGAUAGAUAGAUAGAUAGAUAGAUAGAUACAUAGAUAGAUAGAUAGAUAGAUAGAGAUUUAUAUUUAAAUAAAUGUUCAUACAUAUUAAUGUGUACCUAUAAAUUUGUAUGAAUAUAUGGAAAUUUGUAUUCAAACAUUCAUAUAUACAGAGAUAUAUGUAUACACGCAUACUUAUAUAUAUACAUGCACUCAUAUAUAUAUACAUUUUUGUUUCGUAGACGUGUGUGUUUGUGGCUUAGAAUAUAUUGAUAUGUAAAAUGUAAAUCAUAAGCCAUUGAAACAACAUGUGCUUCUCUGGUUUCAUAGACAGUUGUCACUGAAAUGUAAUUGUAUGUGUGUGUGUGUGUUUGUGUGUGUGUGUUUGUGUGCGCCCGUGUGUGUGUACAUACAUUUCUAUAUGUUUAUAUACGUGUAUUUUGCAUAAAUGUAAAUUAUGUGUGUCUGUGAAACAUCACAUCAAAGCAUUCCGCACCUAUGCUUGUUAACAUCUCGCCACACACAUAUAAAUGUAUACAUACAUACAUAUAUAUAUAAAUAUAUUUUAUAUAUGUAUGUAUGCAUGUAUGCAUAUAUAUAUAUAUAGUCGUCAACUAAAUGUGACUAAGGGUGUCAAGAUAACUACAUUGCUAGAAAUAAGAGCUAAAAUCCUCCAGUCCUGUUACAAUAACAUAUACACUAAUAGGUGCUGCAAACUCCACGAGCUUCGAACUGAAAAUUCUUUAGAUUGACCGCUCGCUUUUGGCUAUUUUCGUAGCCAUCAUCAGUAAGGCCAGCUCGGACCAGCUUACUGACGAUGGCUACGGAAAUAUCCGAAACUGACCAGUCGGUGUCCUCAGAGUUAUAUGUUAUGUGCAUUAUAACAGCAUUGGAGCAUUUUAUCUCUUAUAUCUAGCAACGUAGGUGUCUUGGCUCGUUUAGUCACGUUUAGUUGAUUAUAAUUCUUCUUUACUGUCUAACAUUGCAACAGGCUGUUUUAAUUAAUACACACACACACACACACACACACACACACACAUAUAUAUAUGUAUGCAUGUAUAUAUGUAUAUAUAUAUAUAUAUAUAUAUAUGUAUAUGUAUUUAUAUUUAUAUUAUUUUGUAUUAUGUUUUAUAUUAUAUUACUUAUGAGUGCGUGCCUGCGUGUAUAUAUGCAUAUAUUUUUCUGCUUGUAAAUUUAAUUGCCUUUUGGACAUGUGCGUCUUUUUCUAUACAUCAAUAAUGACUCACUGUAUAUUGCACAAAUAUAUUUCUUUUUUCUCAAAGAAAUUACACUUCAUAUUCGAGGCUCCGAUGAAGCUACAGGAUGCUAUUCAGGCACUCAACCAUGAGUCCACAGCAUCUUGUGGCAGAAACAGCUGUAAGCUAAUGGAAUUCACAACAUAACCAUCGCCUUCCUUUGGCAUCUCUUUUUCUUAUUGCUGGUCUUUACUCGUCUAACACAUAUGUGUAUUGAGUUCUACACUAGGCUAUUAGUUCCGCAGUGCCUAAGCGAAUAUGAGUGUGUGUAUGUGGGUGUGUAUAUGCAUGUAUGUCUGUACGUAUACUUAUAUGUAUGUACAUGUAUAUAUCUAUAUAAUAUGUAUAUUAUUGAUGUUGGUGGUCAUGGUACAGACCGUAGUAUUGCUUUUCAUAUCUGUAUGUAUGGGCCUACUUUAGAUUGUGGUGGUACUUCGUGUUGUAAUCAAAGGAUCGGGUUUCGAUUUAAUGUGCAGUAAUGGCCUUUAUAUCCUAUAGCCUUGAAGUGAGCAAAUGUCUUGCAGGUAGGAACGCACACACAUUCUUUCUCUCCCUCUCUCACACGCACACAGACACACAUAUAUGUAUAUAUUAACACACACACACAUACACAUAUAUUUACGCGCGUGCGCGCGUGACCCUGCAGCUAGAAAACGCGGAGUUCUUUACUAAUCAAAACAAUAUUAUUAGCCUGCUGUGCUGACAGAGUGCCCUCAAGUAUUUUGACCGUUUUGAUAAUCCCUAACCAAUAACUCUGUUUUAUUUAUAUAUAUAUAUAUAUAUAUAUAUAUAUAUAUAUAUAUAUAUAUGCAUAUAUAUAUAAUUAUUUGCACACAAACACACAUACACACACAUAUAUAUAUAUAUAUAAUAUCACAAAUUUUGUAUCUACAGCUAGGCAUGGUUUCCCGACCAAAAUAAUAAUGCUUUUUGCUUAUAAGAUUAUCUUUACUCUCACAAGUGAUCGAGUGCUAUUGUACGUGUUGAAUCAUUGGUGUGGCUGUGUGGUAAGAAGCUUGCUUCCCAACCACGUGGUUACCGGUUGGGUCCCACUGCGUUAAACCUUGGGCAAGUGUCACCUACUAUUAUAGCCUUUGGCGGACCAAAGCCUUGUGGGUAGAUUUGGUAGGCGGAAACUGAAAGAAGCUAGUUGUGUGUGUGUGUAUAUAUAUAUGAAUUUAUGUCUGUGUGUGUGUGUAUCUGUGUUUGCGCAUUCCGCACCAUCACUUGACAACCGAUGCUGGUGUGUUUACACCUCUGUAACUUAACCAGUUCCGUCAAAAAGAAUAAGUACUAGGCUUACAAAGAGUGCGUCCCGAGACUGGUUUCUUCGACUAAAACCAUUUGAGGCCGUGAUCCAACAUGGCUAUAGUCAAAUGAUUGAUACAAGUAAAAGAACGAAAGAAUAAAAGAAUAUAUAUAUAUAUAUAUAUAUAUAUAUAUAUAAUACGAAUAAAGGGUAAAAUUAAUUAAUUAUAUAUGUAUAUAUAUAUUGGUGUUUGUUUUCAUUUUAUACAGAAAUAUUCGAAGAUAAAUUGAAAGGUUAGUCAAUACGUUUAAGUAGCGUACCAAAUUUAUUCUACCAGGAAAUGUUUGAUCUUACUCGCCGUCAAAAUCUGACGACGUCUAUUAAGCUAACUGUAAGGUGUUACUCAGGUACUCAGCUCUGAGUCCACUACAUCGCAUAGCAGAAACAGCCGUGAGACAAUGAAGUUCAUAAGUUAAUCAUUUAUUCCGUUGUCAUCUCAUUUUCUUAUACACACACUCACACACACAUACACACACACACACACACACACACACACACACACAAACACAUGCGUUUGAUUUCUGUAUUUUACUACUGGUUUGUUGGUUUCAGUCUAAAGUGUUUGCCAUGCUGGGACAACAGCCAUUAGUGUUAAUACUUGCUAAAUUUUAUUAUUAAUUAACGGCCCUAUCUCCGGAAUCGGUCCUGGUAAAAUAGUGAGUUGAACAACGCUGCCCUUCUUCGCGUUUCUUUCUGCGCUGUUGGUUCUUCAGGUGUCUCUGAUAAAAAUUUGCCUAAAUGCUCUUCGCACACAUCCAUGUCCACACUUCCUAGAUCUCUGUGGCCUUCUAGCAAGGUAUUGAAAUAGAGUGAACCUUUGAACUCUUGGCUGUACAGAAUUGGGCCCUUACUCGGGACAGAGAAGGAAUUUUCUUUGACUCUAUACAGUGGCGUCCAGUUCGGAGAUUGGCAUAGCUUUCAAUACCUAAAGUUGGGUGCUAGACAAUGAUUUAUCAUUUGUGUGUGUGUGUGUUCAUGAUCCUUUAGCAAGAAUAGUAUUUUUACAUUGUAUUCGAAGUUUCGGCUCCCUAGACCAUCUUCGGACUGUCGAUAGAAUUCUUGUUAAAGAAUUAUAAAUUUGUGCUCUACAAAGGUAUGGAGUAAUCCUUCAGAUGAAUGUAAAAUUAUUUUUCUUAAAUCUUAACAUUAAAUAAAAUUUUAAUAUAUAUAUAUAUAUAUAAUAUAUACACACACACACAGACACAUACACACAUACAUACACACACACACACACACACACACACACACACACACACACACACAUUUAUAUAUACACGCACGCACGCACACACUGCAUAUCUUUCACGUCUUCUCCAGUUCUUUUCGCCUCUUCCUGUAAUUCCUCUGUUGCACUGGGAGUCAAUCUUCUUUGUAAAGUGGCGUUGAGAUGCCUCAACUGCUCAUUUGACGCUUUUUGCUGACCAUAAAUUCGAAGCAGUAAACUCAGGCGAAUAUAUAUAUAUAGUUACCUCUAUUUACUUAUGCACACACAGCCAGACACACAUACACGCACGCAUACACACAUAUAUGUAUAUGAGUGUAGAUAGAUAAAAUAGAUAAAUAAAUAAAGAGUUGUCGUUCCGAAUGAAAUAAAAACUGCAUUCAGAUCCGGCAGCAGAAUGCAUAUAAGACAACUGACGAUAAUCUCUGCGGCAAUUCUGAAAUUCUUGGCAUGGGUAACCAUUUAAUCGUACCUGGGCAGGUAACCUGAUAGUUUGAGAAGUGACACAAGGAAU